rnacentral:rRNA from 1 species
AAGUUUGAUCCUGGCUCAGAUUGAACGCUGGCGGCAUGCCUUACACAUGCAAGUCGAACGGCAGCACGGGUACUUGUACCUGGUGGCGAGUGGCGAACGGGUGAGUAAUACAUCGGAACGUACCUUAUCGUGGGGGAUAACGCAGCGAAAGCUGUGCUAAUACCGCAUACGCCCUUAGGGGGAAAGCGGGGGAUCGCAAGACCUCGCGCGAUUAGAGCGGCCGAUGCCUGAUUAGCUUGUUGGUGGGGUAAAAGCCCACCAAGGCGACGAUCAGUAGCUGGUCUGAGAGGACGAUCAGCCACACUGGGACUGAGACACGGCCCAGACUCCUACGGGAGGCAGCAGUGGGGAAUUUUGGACAAUGGGGGAAACCCUGAUCCAGCAAUGCCGCGUGAGUGAAGAAGGCCUUCGGGUUGUAAAGCUCUUUUGUCAGGGAAGAAACACCGGCUCUAACACAGUCCGGGAAUGACGGUACCUGAAGAAUAAGCACCGGCUAACUACGUGCCAGCAGCCGCGGUAAUACGUAGGGUGCAAGCGUUAAUCGGAAUUACUGGGCGUAAAGCGUGCGCAGGCGGUUAUACAAGACAGGCGUGAAAUCCCCGGCUUAACCUGGGAAUGGCGCCUGUGACUGUAUAGCUAGAGUGUGUCAGAGGGGGGUAGAAUUCCACGUGUAGCAG